CCUACGGGCGGCAGCAGUGGGGGAUAUUGCACAAUGGGGGGAACCCUGAUGCAGCGACGCCGCGUGGGUGAAGGAGCGUUUCGGCGCGUAAAGCCCUAUCGGCAGGGAAGACGAUGACGGUACCUGACCAAGACGCCCCGGCUAACUACGUGCCAGCAGCAGCGGUAAUACGUAGUGGGCAAGCGUUAACCGGAUUUACGGGGUGGAAAGGGGGCGCAGACGGCAAUGCAAGCCAGGAGUGAAAGCCCGGGGCUCAACCCCGGGACUGCUCUUGGAACUGCAUGGCGGGAGUACAGGAGGGGCAGGCGGAAGUCCUAGGGUAGCGGUGAAAUGCGUAGAUAGUAGGAGGAACCCCGGUGGCGAAGGCGGCCUGCUGGACUGUGACUGACGUUGAGGCCCGAAGGCGUGGGGAGCAAACAGGAUUAGAUACCCUUGUAGUC
rnacentral:rRNA from 1 species